CCUACGGGUGGCAGCAGUGAGGAAUAUUGGUCAAUGGACGAGAGUCUGAACCAGCCAAGUAGCGUGAAGGAUGACUGCCCUCUGGGUUGUAAACUUCUUUUAUAUGGGAAUAAACUGUUCCACGUGUGGCAUUUUGUAUGUACCAUAUGAAUAAGGAUCGGCUAACUCCGUGCCAGCAGCCGCGGUAAUACGGAGGAUCCGAGCGUUAUCCGGAUUUAUUGGGUUUAAAGGGAGCGUAGGUGGAUUGUUAAGUCAGUUGUGAAAGUUUGUGGCUCAACCGGAGAACUGCAGUUGAAACUGGCAGUCUAGAGUACAGUAGAGGUGGGCGGAAUUCGUGGUGUAGCGGUGAAAUGCUUAGAGAUCACGAAGAACUCCGAUUGCGAAGGCAGCUCACUGGACUGAAACUGACACUGAGGCGCGAAAGUGUGGGUAUCAAACAGGAUUAGAUACCCGGGUAGUC
rnacentral:rRNA from 1 species